rnacentral:ncRNA from 1 species
UUCUUGGAGAGUUUGAUCCUGGCUCAGGACGAACGCUGGCGGCGUGCCUAAUACAUGCAAGUCGAGCGAAUCUUUAGGAGCUUGCUCCUAAAGGUUAGCGGCGGACGGGUGAGUAACACGUGGGCAACCUGCCUGUAAGACUGGGAUAACUUCGGGAAACCGGAGCUAAUACCGGAUAAUCCUUUUCCUCACAUGAGGGAGAGCUGAAAGACGGUUUCGGCUGUCACUUACAGAUGGGCCCGCGGCGCAUUAGCUAGUUGGUGAGGUAACGGCUCACCAAGGCGACGAUGCGUAGCCGACCUGAGAGGGUGAUCGGCCACACUGGGAC